rnacentral:tRNA from 1 species
GGGCCGGUAACUCAGUUGGUUAGAGUGCCAUCCUCACACGAUGGAAGUCAGCAGUUCGAGUCUGCUCCGGCCCACCA